GAAAUGCGAUAAGUAAUGUGAAUUGCAGAAUUCAGUGAAUCAUCGAAUCUUUGAACGCACAUUGCGCCCGCCAGUAUUCUGGCGGGCAUGACUGUCCGAGCGUCAUUUCAACCAUCAAGCCCCCGGGCUUGUGUUGGGGACCUGCGGCUGCCCGCAGGCCCUGAAAACCAGUGGCGGGCUCGCUGUCACACCGAGCGUAGUAGCAAUCACCUCGCUCAGGGCGUGCUGCGGGUUCCGGCCGUUAAACAGCCUUACAAAACCCAAGGUUGACCUCGGAUCAGGUAGGAAGACCCGCUGAACUUAAGC
rnacentral:misc_RNA from 1 species